GGAAUCUUCCACAAUGGACGAAAGUCUGAUGGAGCAACGCCGCGUGAGUGAUGAAGGGUUUCGGCUCGUAAAACUCCGUUGUUGGAGAAGAACAGGUGUCAGAGUAAAUGUUGACAUCUUGACGGUAUCCAACCAGAAAGCCACGGCUAACUACGUGCCAGCAGCCGCGGUAAUACGUAGGUGGUAAGCGUUGUCCGGAUUUAUUGGGCGUAAAGCGAGCGGCGGCGGUUUUUUAGGUCUGAAGUGAAAGCCUUCGGCUUAACCGGGGAAGUGCAUCGGAAACCGGGAGACUUGAGUGCAGAAGAGGACAGUGGAACUCCAUGUGUAGCGGUGAAAUGCGUAGAUAUAUGGAAGAACACCAGUGGCGAAGGCGGCUGUCUGGUCUGUAACUGACGCUGAGGCUCGAAAGCAUGGGUAGCG
rnacentral:rRNA from 1 species